GUGUUUUUCUUGUUUUCGGUUAUUUGCUUUAUCACUCACAAGAUAAAUAAAGCUUGUUUUGGUUUCAUUUGGCUCUAACUGUUACCUUUCCAUCACAAUUAUAGAUUGAGGGAUUUUAUAUGUAUUUGAACUAUUUAUGCAUUAAUAAAUGACAUAUUUAUCAUAUUGAUUGCUUGUAUAUUUAUACUUGUAUGAUAAAAUCUCAAGAAUAAAUUUGAUCAAUGAAAUCAUAAGUGUUAUGAUGGUUGAUAGAACGAUUAUUUGGCGUAUUUUGCACUGUUAUUUUGUCCUAAUUUUGGCUAUUCUCGGUACUAAGAAUUGGAAUUUCACUCAUAUUCGAUAUUUGUGUGAAUUGUAGGUGGUAGGCAUGAAAAAUGAUCUCGCGGGGUGAAUUUCCAGAAGACUUCCCGUUCCAAGGCGUGGCCACGCCUUAAAAGGUGGACGAAACCGAAAGCCGGACUGCGGUCCACGUGGACCGCGAGGAGCACGGGAUUAAAACUCCAAAAGCUAGCUUUUGUUUCAAUCAAUUGGGUCAGACGUGACUUGGCUCAAAGAAGGGCUUCAAUUAAAAAGAAAAGAAAGGGCCAGACGUUUGUUUGUGGUUUUUGACCUCCUGCGGCGGCUAUUAAAAGAUAGGAAAAAGCUAGAUUCAGGACAUCAUCUACUUUAGGCUUUAGUUUUCUUUUCCCUAGCCGUCAGACGUUGGAGACUCUUCUCUUGCUUUUUGGCUUUCACGUUUUUGACUCUCUCACUUGAGUCUUCGGAUCUGUACAAUUCGUGGGGGCUUUUGGCAUUGAAUUUGGGGAUUCAGUACGAUUGCCAACGCAGAGAUAAGGAAGACGCUCUCUUUUUUCUUUCUUCGUACUUCACUGUUCCAGAUUCUUUGAUGUCUGCGUGGAUGAAAUUAAUUAAUUCGCGCAAGAUUGACACGAUGAGGAGCGGCUAAUUUCCUCCUCUACCCAAAGGUUGACGCAAAGGCGCGGUCCAUAAUAUCUGUGAGAUCUAAUCGAAUUUCAUUAUUUCUUCCAUUUUAUUGCUAUUCGUGCGUUUCCUGAAUUAAUUGUUCAUGGGUAUUUUAUUAAUUGAAUAUCAACGGCCGGGUAUUUGAUUUAAUUUAAUAGCCUACUGCCACGUUAAUUAAAUAGAAUCCGUAAUUGUUCAUUUAAUUGACACCCCGUGGCAACCACCAUAAUUGGCUUUAUGAUGGGGAAACGCAUGAUCUAAUUUAAAUAAACCCUCUUAGCGUGUUUAUUGGUUAGGGUUGGGUUCUUCUAGCUUUAAUGCAAUUGGGUAAUUAAAUUCCUAUGGUCGUACCUAGGGUUGUUAUCUGGUUAGGGAAGCAGUUAAUGGUCGUACCUUGACUGUCGAAAAGGUAAGGAAGAACUGGUUGUCAGAGCUUAUUGAUAACUAUAACCAACCUAGUGAUGAAUGGGUGAAAUAUCUUUGUAUCGAUGAACAUUUACUUGGACCGUGCCUGAGCAGUUGAUCCUUUGGGUAGAACUUUUAUUAAUUGCUAUUUCUAGUGAAUUGUGCUUUGUGAGUUAGUUUUGAAUUUUGUAUGUUUUAUUUUAUUUUAUUUUUAUUUGCCUCUUAUUGAAAAUCCCCCAAUUUCGUUCUACUAAUUUGAAAAGAAAUAAUUUCCUACCUGCUCCCUGUGGAAUCGACCCUACUUGCCAUUGUACGCAAAAUUAGUAUUUUUAUAGAUAAAUCCGGUAUAUCGGAUCAAGCAAACUCUUCGGGAACAGGGUGAAUCAAGUAACCCAUUGCACACCUAGGGUCCCUGCUCCAUUACUUGGAUUUGUUCUAUAAUUAUUUAAUUGAGGUGGUAAUUAGAACUUUUUAGUAAUUAUUAUUGCACAGGUUCGGCACCUGUCAAUUUUUGGCGCCGUUGCCGGGGAGCUGGCGUUUGGAUUAUUUGUUUCUUUUCAAAUUCAGUUUUUAUUUUUAUUUUUAUUUUAUUUUAUUUUUCUUGGUACUUUUGCUAGUUUAUGCCCCGUUCGUCUCGCACAGGUGAAUUGAUAUACGACGCGGAGGUUGAGAAGGCAGCGCGUAAGCGGAGGCAAGAGACCAAGAGACGAAAAGAAGGGCACUCAUUUACUGCAAACGAGUCAGUAGAAGACGAAAUAAGUAUGGCCAACACCCAAACAUUAAGGGAGCUGGCUGCCCCGGAACUGACUCACCAGCCCUUGUGCAUCACAUUCCCCACUUUGGCUGAGAAUACGGCUUUCGAACUGAAGUCGGGGUUGAUUCACCUCUUACCUUCUUUCCAUGGUCUCUCUGGCGAAGAAUCGCACAAGCACGUCAAGGAGUUCGAGGUGGUUUGCUCUAGUAUGAAAUCCCCUGGGGUCACUGAAGAGCAAAUUAGACUGAGAGCCUUCCCGUUUUCUCUCAAAGAUGCAGCUAAAGAUUGGCUGUACUACCUACCAGCAGGUAGUAUUACCACAUGAGCGCAGCUGAAAAAGAAAUUCUUGGAAAAAUUCUUCCCUGCAUCCCGGGCUGCGAGUUUGAGGAAGGAGAUCUGCGGCAUUAAACAAUAUCCCGGUGAGUCCUUGUAUGAAUACUGGGAAAGGUUUAACAAGUUGUGCACUAGAUGCCCGCAGCAUCAAAUUAGUGAGCAACUAUUAAUCCAAUACUUCUAUGAGGGGCUCCAAUCAACAGACAGAAGUAUCAUUGACGCUGCCAGUGGGGGAGCACUUGCAAACAAGACACCGAGGGAAGCGUGGGAGCUCAUCGAAGCCAUGGCAGAGAACUCCCAGCAAUUUGGCUUCCGUGAGAGCAACCCUCCUCGUAGAGUCAACGAGGUAGAGACUUCAUCCUUACAGCAGCAACUGUCAGAAUUGACAUCGGUUGUUAGGCAAUUAGCCAUGAGAGACAUGCCGCGAGCGAAAGUAUGUGGAAUCUGCACUAGCAUGGACCAUUGCACAGACUCGUGCCCCAUUUUGCAAGAGGAUGGGCUGAGCAAGUGAACAUGGCUGGAGGCGUGCCCGCGCCUCGUAGGCAAUACGAUCCGUAUUCCAACACGUACAAUCCGGGUUGGAGAGAUCACCCCAAUCUCAGCUAUGGUAGUAGGCCACAAAAUGCAUUCUCCAAUCGGCCUCCAGGAUUUCAGCAACCUUGGCAACAUAAGUCUCAACCCUCGUCCUCAAGCUCAGGGAGUUCUCUGAAAGAAAUUGUCAAGAGUUUGGCCAACACUACCACUCAACUCGUCACGACCACCACUCAGUUCCAACAGGACACCAAAGCAGGCAUGAAGGACAUGGAGAUUCGAAUGAGUCAAAUGGCAACUGCCAUUAACCGCCUGGAGUCCCACGUCUAUGGGAAAUUGCCAUCACAACCCGAGGCAAAUCCCAAGAAUGUAAGUGCCAUGACAUUAAGGAGUGGCAAAGAGGUGGAUGGACCUAAAGUGGUAAAUUCGAAAAGCAAAAGUGAGGAGGAGAUAGAAAAGGAGAUUGAAGAGGAAGGGCGCAUUCGCGAAGAGUCUAAGGUAACAUCUAUUCCUUCGAUCCCUAUUAAAUCUAAUAUAGCUCCUUUUCCUUGCAGGUUGGAAAAGACAAAGAGGGCAGAAAAGGAAAAAGAAAUCCUGGAUGUGUUCCGCAAAGUUCAAGUAAACAUCCCCCUAUUGGAUGCGAUCAAGCAGGUACCCAAGUACGCAAAGUUCUUGAAAGACUUGUGCGUUAACAAAAGAAAGCUAAGGGGUGAUGAAAGAGUGAUGGUAGGAGAGAAUGUAUCAGCUGUACUUCAAAGGAAACUCUCACCCAAAUGCGGAGAUCCAGGUAUGUUUGCUAUCCCCUGUAAGAUUGGUCAUUCUAGUAUCAAAAAUGCCAUGAUAGAUUUAGGAGCUUCUAUUAAUGUGAUGCCUAAGUUAAUCUAUGAUUCCCUAAAUUUAGGACCUUUAAAAGAAACGGGGAUAAUAAUUCAAUUGGCUGAUCGUACAUGUGCUUAUCCGGAUGGGAUAGUUGAGGAUGUUUUAGUGCAAGUAGAUGGAUUAAUUUUUCCUGCUGAUUUUUAUGUACUUUACAUGGAUGAUAGAAGUGCCCCAAAUCUAUCACCCAUUAUAUUAGGAAGACCAUUUUUGAGUACUGCCCAAACUAAAAUUGAUGUUAGUAAGGGUACUCUCACGAUGGAAUUUGAUGGAGAAAUAGUCCACUUUAACAUUUUUGAUACAAUGAAACAUCCUGUUAACUCUCAUUCUGUGUUUGCUAUGUAUACCACUAAUCCCUCUGUGCAAGAAUUUUCUAAGUUUGCUUGUAGGGGUAAAUCCAAGGUUGCUACGAACAAGUCCUAUAGGAUGAAAGCAAUUCAUGAGGUAAAAAUGGAGAGAAAAUUUAGGAAAAAAGUUGCACUCAAUGGCCAUGUGGAUCCUGGAGGAGGGCCACCAAUUACAAGGAAAAUUCAAUUACAUCCAGACUAAAGAGUGGUGCUAUGUCUAGCCAAAGACAUUAAAGAAAGGCGCUGCUUGGGAGGCAACCCAAGGCUUCUUUUGUUUUAGUUUUCUUAUAUUUUUUAAGUUUUUGUUAAGUGUUAGUGUCACUUAGUGGGUUGUUAUUUUGUGACAGGAAGUUGGCAGCUAGGCAUGCCCACGCUAGGUCAUCACACCUAAGGAAUGGAGUUUUGGAAUUGACGGUCAGACGACUAUAACUUCUAAGGCGUGCCCACGCCUUCCAACCCUUCCGAAAAAGAAACUUCAGUCUUCUCCUUCCUGUUGGUGUUGCGUCCACCGCCACCACACCACCUUGUGCACGCAGCCGUCUCACCUCCUCCGUCUUAGUGUCUCACUUUCUCUCCCCGGUGGUCAGGGAAGUUUCUUUUCUUUUCCCCUAAUACUUCAUUUGUCUUUUCUAUAUUGAGGACAAUGUAGGUUUUAGGUGUGGGGGGGAGUGGCUUCCAUUAGUUCUUUCUUUUUCAUUAGUUCUUUUUGCUUUGUUACUUUAAAAAAAAAAAAAACACAUGGGAUGAAUGAUACAAAAAAAAAAUGAAAAAAUAAAAAACAUUGUAGUUAGUUGGCUUUUUGGUUAUUUCUAUGCUUGUUAGUGUUGGGGCAUGUUGCUGUGAUGAAUGACACAAUCAAAGUGAGUGGUUAUGUGGUCAAGUAUGCUAGCUAUGCAUUUUGUUUCCCUUGGCAAUGUCGUUGAAUGUUGAAUAUGCAGGAAUUGACCCAUUCUUGUAACUUUUGCGGAGCUUUUGAGCCUUGCUUGAGCAUAUUAUUCUUAUUUGCUCUAUUUUGUUUGAUUGAGUGGGUAUCACACAUGGUAUUGGCAUUCUAGAACUUGCUAGUUUAUACAUGUCAAGGCCACAUUUUUGUUGAAUUGGAUGCAUUUGAAAUGAUAAGGGCAUUUAGGAUUUAACCCUCUUUAGCUAUCUAAAAAAAUCAAGCCCUCAUCUUAUCUCCCAAUAGUGAACCAAUUUGAGCUUUUGUCCCUCGUUUCUGGUUGUUAUCGGUGUUUGUUAACCCAAGACCUCUUUAAACUUUCUUGUUUAUCCCUGUGUUGUCAUGGGAUGUCUGAAUUCCAUCAUUUGUGCAAAGCAAACAAAAUUGGGGUUGCAAGUACUAUUAGAUUAGGAGCUAUAUGAUGCUAUCCUUGUAUAAAGGAGGGGAAAUUGGAAAAAGGCCACUGACCAGAGGACUUUGGCUUACAGGGCGUGCCCACGCCUUACAGGACUCUCCCUUGUUAAAAAAAAAAAAAAAAAACUGAAUAGACCUCAUGACCAGAGGACUAUGGGCUACAAGGCGUGCCCACGCCUUGUGAGCAGUUCAAAAAAAAAAAAAAAAAAAAAAAAAAAUU
rnacentral:lncRNA from 1 species